GUCGGGAGUUUCUAGAUUAAAUCAAGCUCCGUUCCCUGGUCUGUUUCCCCUCCCUGGUCUGCUGUUGGACUGAUUUCAAAAGAAAACUUUCAAUGAGUUUCAGAUUUCACAAGAGGCAACUGGAAGAAAAAAGCCUUCCCAUUCCCAGGCAUCUAUAGGUAUGCAAAAGUGUUCCUUGACAAUAGGCAUCUAAUUCUAAUAUCUUUGUUAGCGCUGGGACAUGACAUCUUGUUCUUCUCAAUGCACGAGAAAUAACAGUCAGGUUUUCAUUUCAUUUCCGUUUGUUUGUUUGUUUGUUUGUUUGUUUGUUUGUUUGUAGCAAGCAGAAAUGGAGUAGAUUAUUCAUUCAUUUAUUUAAAAUAAUAAUAAACUGCUGAAUCCAAAAACUCUCUAAGUGGUGUACAACUAAACUGAUAGAUUAUUUAGAUUAAACCAUGCAUAUAUCUGCUAUGUCAUUAUGAAAAACAUUCUUUAAAAAGAAUUAAAAGCUUGUAACUCUAUUUGGUGUUUCAUUGGAUUUUCACCCUCUUUCACGGUUUGUUCUCAUCUUGAUCAGCCCAUUAACUUUGCUACUGCUGCUUGUUGAGACGAAACGGUGUUUUUGACAACCAGGUCCUUCUAAGUUACUAAGCCAUGGCAGUGAUGAGAGAGGAUUCCUCUCAGGUUGCAAAUGCUCUCCCCUCUGAUUUACUUGGUUGACCAGGGGAAAACCUGUGCAAAUCUUUUAAGGGCAGGGGUAGGGUUCUCAAUCCUCUGCAGCAAUGUUGAUGUUUCUGCCGGUAGAGAGGGGUUUAAAAAUGAUCUUACUCAAAAAUCUCUUUGCAAAUGUAAAAAUGGCUGCGAUUCUCACUCAUCUUAUAAAUGUCAGCCACCCUCAUUUUAUUUCCUGUAAUAUGAUGGAUGACUUAAAUAGCAUGAAACUGGCUCCAAGGUAAUUUAAGCCUCAUGUCCCACAGAGGAAUUUACGGUCUUCAAACAAAAACAUCUUGAAGGUCCCAGGCCACAGAGAGGUUAGGCUGGCCUCAACUAGAGCCAGGGCUUUUUCGGCUGUGGCUCCGAUCUGGUGGAACGCUCUGUCCCAAGAGACUAGGGCCCUGCGGGACUUGACAUCUUUCCGCAGGGCCUGCAAGACAGAGCUGUUCCACCAGGCCUUUGGCCAGGGCACAGCCUGACUCCCUCCUUUGGCAAUUUUCACAGAACUUUAGCGCAAUGGUUGCCAUCAAUUUGAUUUGAAUUAAUUUUAUAAUGAAAUGAUUUUAGAAUGUUGUAUUAUUUUAUUGUUGUUAGCCACCCUGAGCCCGGCUUUGGUUGGGGAGGGCAGGAUAUAAAUAAAAUUAUUAUUAUUAUUAUUAUUGUUAUUAUUAUUAUUAUUAUUUAUUGGCUAAGAUGAGAAGCAGAAGAAGAGGCUGAGCAAAGCUUGCUUUGAAUCGGGUUACUCUAAGGAGUUUAUACAAGGGAGAGACAGAGAGGGACUUAUUAUGGUUUCCUAAUUCCUGGUGCAAGGCUGGCACAAGUAGAUGUUUGCCAAGCAGCCUACAAUAUUGUGCUUUCCCUGUGUGUUUGGGAAUGGGUUUGGGUUUGGGGUUAUGUACUCCAUGCUCCUCAAAUGAGUUCACCAGUAUGAUGAUGCCAACUUUCCUCUUAAUGACUUCCUCCAGAGACAAGAUCUUGGUGUCUUCUGAGCAGCUGAGAAUAAUUAUCCAUAGCUAACAGCACCAGAAAAGAUGCCUUAUUCAUCUGUUCCAGUGCGGUUACUUGUCUGUCAAAACUUCUGUAGUUGAAUUCAGCUGAAGUUCUUGUUUAACUUGGUUUGCAGGAUGUUUGAACGCAUUAGCCAAAGCGUUAAAAUCAUUGGCAUCUCUAAAACCAUUUCCUAGCACCUCCCAGACACCUCUGGGUGUUUUCUUUCAAAACUUGAACCUGCCUCUGGAUUUGACAAAUAACAGGCAUGUCCUCUUUAUUCAGAACAUCACAGCAUCAAUUAGGGGCUAGUUUAAAACUCUGCUGUUCCUGCAACCUGGAUUGGAGCAGUGGCAGAUCUUUGAAGCUUGUUCUUUACCAGAUCUGUUUUAGUAACUUUUAGGGAAAUUAUCAUUUUUUAUUGAUGAUAUUUUAUGUCCUUGAUAUCAAAGAUCAGUAUGAAGAAGAACCUGGAGAAACCCAAUAGAUUGUUAACAGAAGGCAGUCAGAUAAGAGAAGCGUUUUGAAAAGCCAACUGGUGUCAUGUAGUCAGUAGAGUAUUGAACUUGGCAGAGGCUAUGUGAGUUCAGAUCCCUCUCCAGCCACUAAGCUCACUGUGUAGCCCUCACCAAGUCACUGCUUAUUUCCAUGCUAUAUCCCUAUCACAGAUUCUUUUUGGAGCACCUACUGGGUCUCCAUGUCUUAAGUUUUAACUUAGAAGGAGUUCAGUCCUGUUUUCUUAGAUUUAUAUUUGGCUCAUCUAGAUGUGUUGCCGAUGCUGCUUUUGGAAACUGAACUAAAUUCUUUGACCUUAGCUUGGAUGUAUUUCAUUCACUUUUGGCUCCAGUGCUCUUUUGCUUCCUCCCAGUUCCUUUGUUUUCCAGGUGAUGAGAGACUCUCAUAAGGUUGCCUAGAUGAAGGAAUUACUGCAAAAUGUUACAGUGGUACAAUGGUUCUCAAACUUAAUCCAUUCCGGAAGUCCGUUCCAAAACCAAAGCGUUCCAAAACCAAGGCACGCUUUCCCAUAUAAAGUAAUGCAAAAUGGAUUAAUCUGUUCCAGGGUUUUAAAAAGCAAUUUAACAUGAAUUUUACUAUCUAACGAGACCAUUGAUUGAUAAAAUGAAAGCAAGAAACAAUGUACUGCAGUCACACAAUUAAUCUGUAGCUGAACUGGGUUCCACACAGUCACAAAAACAAAAACAAAAGAGCUGCAAAAAUGCAAAAUAAAUAGCAAAAACAGACAGACCUCAGUGUAACACUCAAAACAGAAGUGUGGCACUCAAAUCGGAAGCGUAACACUCAAAACAGAGCAUGCUCGGCUUCCAAAAAAGUUAACAAACUGGAACACUUACUUCUGGGUUUGCAGUGUUUGGGUUCCAAAUUGUUUGAGUACCAAGGCAUUUGAGAACCAAGGUACCACUGUACUUGAGUUUUCACCUUCUUAUUAUCUAUAGCUUAUAAGCAAGCCAAAUGUGGCUUUAAUGCUUCCAUCCACCCAAGUAAAGCGGUAUAUCAAAUUUUCUGUGGCUCCGUUUUUUGUUUAAAAAUACAUAUAUAAACACAAUUUGGCACCAACUCCACCAUCUUGUGAUGACAAGGGCAGUAUUUGUUAUUUAUAGGAACUUGGAUAUAUGUUCCCCAUAAAAGUUUUGGAGGGUUAGGCAUUUAAGGGUGCCAGAUAAAAGGCUUUCCUGUGUUUAGGAACAGAUAACCAUUUCAGAUAAGGCAUCCCAUUCUUAGAAGUGGAAUUUGGCAAACCAAGCAACUGAGAGGAACAAGGCUCCUUGGCGCCACGCCAUACACUCUUGUAGGUCAAUUGCCGUUAGUCUCUGUUUGACAAUACAUUUGGCUUGCUUCGAGGCUAUAGAUAAGUGCAAAUUUUUGAAGAAUGGCUGUGAUUUGGUUCAAUUCACUUUGCAUUUAAAGGUAAAUUCACAUUUAAAAGCAGACUGAAUCAAAUUGCUUUCCCAUCCCUAGGGAGGGGUGGUGAUAGCAUUGGAAUUGCACUACCUCUGUUCCAAAACUUCAAAAAAUACCUGGAGGCACCAGUUGCCCUUCUCCUCUCUCUCAUCCUUAGGUAAUGGUAUAAAGACUGUGAGUACAUGAUGAGUUAUAGUAACCUUUGGUGUAGCUUCAGGUAAAUUAACAGUAUCUCACCAGGGAUGAAUUUGUCCUGUGUUACUUAAUUUGUGUUUCAGAUUAAAAGAGCAUCAUAAAUUACCAUAGCACAAUGGAGCAAAUCUCAAUUAACACAAUUAAUUUAGGGAAGGCUCUCUUUUAUGGCGGUAGCAUACUUAAGUUGAUUGGAUUCACAGACUGUAGGAAAGGACAACUCAGAUGAUGAAAAGACUGGACCAUCUUCCCUGUAAGGAAAAGCAAAAAAUUGUAUUUUUAUAGCUUAGAUUAAAAAAGAUGACAUAGGGAAAGGAAUAGAAGCAGAUGGAAGUUAUGUGAGAUUUGGAGAAAGUGGACAGAAAGAUACAACAUUCUCCGUCCCUCAUAACACCAGCAGAACUGAUCAACAGGGGAGACAAAAUAAAAUACUUCUUCAGACACAUAAUUAAUGCAUGAAAUUUACAACCCCAAGAUGUGUUGUUUUUAACUUCCUUUUGCUUUUAACUUUUUACGAUUUAAUUGUUUGGUUUUAUGUUUUCAUAUUGCUGCAAAACACUGUAAUACAGCAGCAUAUAAAUAUUUUUAUAAAUAAAAUAAUUAUGCACUGGCUCACAUUGUUUUAAAAGGUGAUUAGACAAAUUCAGAGAGCAUAGGUCAACCAAUGGCUAUUGGACACAACAAAAUGUGGCACUGUGAAGUCAGGGUUGAAGUUUCUAGAUUUUCUACCCAUCCUCCCCAUAAAAAAUGGUUUGCAGAGUAAUCUGACACUGGGAAUUGUAUGUAAGGCUAGAUGGACCUUUCGUUGGGAGACUGAUAUGGAGAGAGGAGACCUUGCUUAACAUCAUCUAUUUGAGCUUAGGAACUUUCUGACUCAUCAUAGCUCAUGGCUGGGAAGCCACUAUCCACUGGCAGAGGAAGAGGAGUGCGGGGGGAGUGCAUUGCCCCUGGCAGCGCGAUCCUGGUAGGGUGCCAUUGCGGCUGUCCCCCCGCCCGUGCUGCGUGCCAUGCCCCUGCAGGUGGCGCACCCCACCCCUGGGACGCGCGCCAGCCCUGCCCCCACCUGCUCUCCGCCCCCCGGUGCCGGAGCAUGAAGCUCCACCACUGCCACUAUCCCUUAACUAUGAAUUGAUGCAAAUGUAUUGAAUAUCUCCAGAAAAAGUUGAAUGGGGUUCUGUGUUUAAUCUCUCCUAUCCUGUGAAAAAAUCAUUUCUUAAAUACACUGAUGUCAAAUUAUUUGGAACAGAUGGGUAAAAUCUUAGCUCCUUUAUGGGAGUAAACAAAGGCAUGUGGAAUUCACUAACCUUAUGCACACAUAUCAUUUAAAAAUUAAUACAGCAAUAGAUAAGAGAGCUAGGGGUAUAUGAAAAAAUUCCAUCAAUAGGACUAUUAUGGCUAAGACAUUAAAGUGAGGCAUAUCAAAGUGAAGUUGCUACAUUAAAAAAAAUUGAUCUGUAGUUUGCAUCCAUUAAUAACUUUCUGCAUUGCUUAUCAUUUCAGGAACAUUUGGUCCUAGCAUGUGAUCUGUCAAUCAAAAGCAAAACCAUCAGGGAG